rnacentral:tRNA from 1 species
GGUAUUGUACUUUAAAAAAAAGAUUAGGUUUGCGUCUUAAAAUUGGGAGUUGUCCCCAAUGCCU